rnacentral:tRNA from 1 species
GCGCGAGUAGCUCAAUUGGAUAGAGCGCUAGCCUCCGGAGCUAGAGGUUAAGGGUUCGACCCCCUUCUCGCGUACCA